GAUGAAGAACGUAGCGAAAUGCGAUAAGUAAUGUGAAUUGCAGAAUUCAGUGAAUCAUCGAAUCUUUGAACGCACAUUGCGCCCCUUGGUAUUCCGAGGGGCAUGCCUGUUCGAGCGUCAUUAUAACCCCUCAAGCUCAGCUUGGCGUUGGGGCCUGCUGCACUGGCAGCCCUUAAAAUCAGUGGCGGCGCCAUCUGGCUCUAAGCGUAGUAAUUCUUCUCGCUAUGGAGUCCUGGUGGAUGCUUGCCAUCAACCCCCAAUUUUUCUAUGGUUGACCUCGGAUCAGGUAGGGAUACCCGCUGAACUUAAGCAUAUCAAUAAGCGGAGGA
rnacentral:misc_RNA from 1 species